GAUGAAGAACGUAGCGAAAUGCGAUACUUGGUGUGAAUUGCAGAAUCCCGUGAACCAUCGAGUCUUUGAACGCAAGUUGCGCCCGAAGCCAUUAGGCCGAGGGCACGCCUGCCUGGGUGUCACACAUCGUUACCCCAACGCAGACAUGUAACAAUGUUGCUGCGCGGGGUGUAUGCUGACCUCCCGCGAGCACCCGCCUCGUGGUUGGUUGAAAUCUGGGUUCAUGGCCGACUUCGCCGUGAUAAAAUGGUGGAUGAGCCACGCUCGAGACCAAUCACGUGCGAGCCGGUCAGUUCUGGACCCAUCGACGACCCUUUGCGUGCACGCACGCUCCCAACGAGACCUCAGGUCAGGCGGGGCUACCCGCUGAGUUUAAGCAUAUCAAUAAGCGGAGGA
rnacentral:misc_RNA from 1 species